CCUACGGGUGGCAGCAGUGAGGAAUAUUGGUCAAUGGGCGUAAGCCUGAACCAGCCAAGUCGCGUGAGGGAUGAAGGCUCAAUGGAUCGUAGACCUCUUUUAUCAGGGAAUAAAGGGUGGGACGUGUCCGGUUUUGUAUGUACCUUAUGAAUAAGGAUCGGCUAACUCCGUGCCAGCAGCCGCGGUAAUACGGAGGAUCCGAGCGUUAUCCGGCUUUAUUGGGUUUAAAGGGUGCGUAGGCGGCCUUUUAAGUCAGCGGUUAAAGUCUGUGGCUCCACCAUGGCAUUGCCGUUGAAACUGGGGGGCUUGAGUAUGUUUGAGGCAGGCGGAAUGCGUGGUGUAGCGGUGAAAUGCUUAGAUAUCACGCAGAACCCCGAUUGCGAAGGCAGCCUGCCAAGCCAUGACUGACGCUGAUGCACGAAAGCGUGGGGAUCAAACAGGAUUAGAUACCCGGGUAGUC
rnacentral:rRNA from 1 species